rnacentral:rRNA from 1 species
AACGAACGCUGGCGGCAGGCUUAACACAUGCAAGUCGAACGAGAUCUUCGGAUCUAGUGGCAGACGGGUGAGGAACACGUGGGAACAUCCCUUUCAGUUCGGAAUAACGUUGGGAAACUAACGCUAAUACCGGAUACGUCCUUCGGGAGAAAGAUUUAUCGCUGAAAGAUUGGCCCGCGUCUGAUUAGCUAGUUGGUGAGGUAACGGCUCACCAAGGCUACGAUCAGUAGCUGAUCGGAGAGGAUGAUCAGCCACAUUGGGACUGAGACACGGCCCAAACUCCUACGGGAGGCAGCAGUGGGGAAUAUUGGACAAUGGGCGCAAGCCUGUUCCAGCGAUGCCGCGUGAGUGAUGACGGCCUUCGGGUUGUAAAGCUUUUUUGUCCGGGAAGAUAAUGACUGUACCGGAAGAAUAAGCCCCGGCAAACUUCGUGCCAGCAGCCGCGGUAA